rnacentral:rRNA from 1 species
GCCGGACCUGACUGCUAUCGGAUUGAUACUAAGCCAUGCGAGUCUUUGUAGUAAUACAAGGCAGACGGCUCAGUAACACGUAGUCAACCUACCCUAUGGACAAGAAUAAUCUCGGGAAACUGGGCAUAAUUCUUGAUAGAUCAUAAUGCCUGGAAUGGUUUAUGGUUAAAAUGAUUCGUCGCCAUAGGAUGGGACUGCGGCCUAUCAGCUUGUUGGUGAGGUAAUGGCCCACCAAGGCGAUUACAGGUACGGGCUCUGAGAGGAGAAGCCCGGAGAUGGGUACUGAGACACGGACCCAGGCCCUAUGGGGCGCAGCAGGCGAGAAAACUUUGCAAUGUGCGAAAGCACGACAAGGUUAAUCCGAGUGAUUUCUGCUAAAGAAAUCUUUUGCCAGUCAUAAAACCACUGGUGAAUAAGGGGUGGGCAAGUUCUGGUGUCAGCCGCCGCGGUAAAACCAGCACCUCAAGUGGUCAGGAUGAUUAUUGGGCCUAAAGCAUCCGUAGCCUGCUCUGUAAGUUUUCGGUUAAAUCCAUGUGCUCAACGCAUGGGCUGCCGAAAAUACUGCAUAGCUAGGGAGUGGGAGAGGUAGACGGUACUCAGUAGGUAGGGGUAAAAUCCUUUGAUCUAUUGAUGACCACCUGUGGCGAAGGCGGUCUACCAGAACACGUUCGACGGUGAGGGAUGAAAGCUGGGGGAGCAAACCGGAUUAGAUACCCGGGUAGUCCCAGCCGUAAACUAUGCAAACUCAGUGAUGCAUUGGCUUUUGGCCAAUGCAGUGUUGCAGGGAAGCCGUUAAGUUUGCCGCCUGGGAAGUACGUACGCAAGUAUGAAACUUAAAGGAAUUGGCGGGGGAGCACCACAAGGGGUGAAGCCUGCGGUCAAU